GGUUGUAUAGUGUAGCGGUUAUCACUCCGGAUUCUGAGUCUCAAAACUCAUUAAAGAACAUUCCGGCAACCCCGGUUCGAUUCCGGGUACGACCU